UCCGCGGUGCGCAGACGGUGGGCAGCGGCGGCGUGCGCCGCGCGAAAGCCAGCCCGGUGGGUACAUCACCGUUCGAGCCGGUGCCACAGGGC
rnacentral:tRNA from 1 species